rnacentral:rRNA from 1 species
UACGUAGGGGGCUAGCGUUGUUCGGAAUUACUGGGCGUAAAGCGCGCGUAGGCGGACCUGUAAGUCGGGGGUGAAAGCCCGAGGCUCAACCUCGGAACUGCCUUCGAUACUGCGGGUCUCGAGUCCGGGAGAGGUGAGUGGAAUUCCUAGUGUAGAGGUGAAAUGCGUAGAUAUGUGGAGGAACACCAAUGGCGAAGGCAGCCCCCUGGGUCAACACUGACGCUCAGGCACGAAAGCGUGGGGAGCAAACAGG